AGUGAACGCUGGCGGCGUGCUUAGCACAUGCAAGUCGAACGAGAACGGAUUAUAGCUUGCUAUAAUUGUCAGCUAAGUGGCGCACGGGUGAGUAAUGUAUAGGUAAUAUGCCUCUUACUAAGGGAUAACAAAUGGAAACGUUUGCUAAUACCUUAUACUCCUUAUUAACCUAAGUUAAUAAGUGAUAGAUUUAUUGGUAAGAGAUUAGCCUGUAUUGUAUCAGUUAGUUGGUGGGGUAAUGGCUUACCAAGACUAUGACACAUAACUGGUUUGAGAGGAUGAUCAGUCACACUGGAACUGAGACACGGUCCAGACUCCUACGGGAGGCAGCAGUGGGGAAUAUUGCACAAUGGACGAAAGUCUGAUGCAGCAACGCCGCGUGGAGGAUGACACAUUUCGGUGCGUAAACUCCUUUUAUAUGAGAAGAUAAUGACGGUAUUAUAUGAAUAAGCACCGGCUAACUCCGUGCCAGCCGCCGCCGUAA
rnacentral:rRNA from 1 species